AUAUGGACAGUACUAACUCCUGAAUUUCCUGUUACAGGUAGUGGAUUCGAGAGGCACACCAACACCAGCAGAUGAGUCUCCGUUUAAUACUUGGGAUAUUAUAACAGUAAGUUAUAGCUCCAGAAGUCAAUCACCAGCAGCAGAUGUCACACAGUUAUAAAAUGGGAAACUUGUAGAAUAAGGUACUAGUGGUUUGGAUACAUGUGUGGGAAAUUUCACCUUUCACUUAAAAUGAAGGUACAGUUACAGUCCUUAAGAGUAUACUGGCAAAUGGUAA